AAGCUGACCAAUGCAGACGCGGCCAAUAGACAGAGAGAAAGGAAGGAAGGUAGCACAGUGUUUAAAAGUGAACCCAGAAAUUCAGCUGUGGUUUCGCCACUCAUGCAUGGGAACAUCUCAAGGCCGACGCAGAACCUCUCCAAGCCCACAUCCUUCACUGAAAAUGCAGAAAACGACAGAGCAGCUGCAUAGGGGAGUUGUCAGCUGUGAACACAGGCCCACCAAGUCAGACGCUGCUAUUUCUGUUGCUGCGGUUGGCACUGCAACAAGGGACAGGGACUCAGAAUCAGUGGAUGACCUGCAGUACCUGUGGUUCCUCGCUGUCACACAGGGUUGAAGGUUUUUCCGAUCUGCAACCCAUCACAUGCUCCCCUGAGAACCACAUCCAAGUUCUGAAAGUCUUCUUCCCCUAACCCCAUGCCAACCUGAGCUAGCCACCUGCAAGAUGAGAUGCCAUGUGGGAGACAAGGAAGGUUCUUCAUUCAAUAGCCAGGCUCCUGCCAAAUGUGAAUGAGACUGAUAGGAAUCAGCCAGCCCCAGAAGACUCAUCUAUUGAUUGCACAGCCAGCAGCUGAUCAUAACAAUGUGAUCCACUGUAGCAGAGAAGUAGAAGAAUCACCCAGCUGAGCCCAACCCAGUUUACUGACUCAUACAA